UACGGAGGGUGCGAGCGUUGUUCGGAAUCACUGGGCGUAAAGCGCGUGUAGGCGGCCUUCUAAGUCUGGUGUGAAAGCCCGGGGCUCAACCCCGGAAGUGCAUUGGAUACUGGAAGGCUGGAGUACCGGAGAGGAGGGUGGAAUUCCUGGUGUAGCGGUGAAAUGCGUAGAUAUCAGGAGGAACACCUGUGGCGAAGGCGGCCCUCUGGACGGAUACUGACGCUGAGACGCGAAAGCGUGGGGAGCAAACAGG
rnacentral:rRNA from 1 species